rnacentral:rRNA from 1 species
UACGUACUGUGCGAACGUUAUUCGGAAUUACUGGGCUUACAGGGUGUGUAGGCGGCUGAUUAAGUAGGGUGUGAAAGGCCUCGGCCUAACCGAGGCAUUGCGCUCUAAACUGAUCGGCUUGAGUGAGAUAGGGGUGUGCGGAACUUCCAGUGGAGCGGUGAAAUGUGUUGAUAUUGGAAGGAACGCCGGUGGCGAAAGCGGCACACUGGGUCUCAACUGACGCUGAGACACGAAAGCCAGGGGAGCGAACGGGAUUAGAUACCCGUGUAGU